CAGCAGCCACGGUAAUACGAAGGGGGCUAGCGUUGCUCGGAAUGACUGGGCGUAAAGGGCGCGUAGGCGGCGAUCAAAGUCAGGCGUGAAAUUCCUGGGCUCAACCUGGGGGCUGCGCUUGAUACUUGGUUGCGUGAGUGGGGAAGAGGGUCGUGGAAUUCCCAGUGUAGAGGUGAAAUUCGUAGAUAUUGGGAAGAACACCGGUGGCGAAGGCGGCGACCUGGUCCUUGACUGACGCUGAGGCGCGAAAGCGUGGGGAGCAAACAGGAUUAGAUACCCCGGUAGUCCCUGUCUCUUAUAC
rnacentral:rRNA from 1 species